GACGAACGCUGGCGGCGUGCUUAACACAUGCAAGUCGAACGGAAAGGCCCUGCUUUUGUGGGGUGCUCGAGUGGCGAACGGGUGAGUAACACGUGAGUAACCUGCCCUUGACUUUGGGAUAACUCCAGGAAAAUGGGGCUCAUACCGGAUAGGAGCUCCUGCUGCAUGGUGGGGGUUGGAAAGUUUCGGCGGUUGGGGAUGGACUCGCGGCUUAUCAGCUUGUUGGUGGGGUAGUGGCUUACCAAGGCUUUGACGGGUAGCCGGCCUGAGAGGGUGACCGGCCACAUUGGGACUGAGAUACGGCCCAGACUCCUACGGGAGGCAGCAGUGGGGAAUAUUGCACAAUGGGCGGAAGCCUGAUGCAGCAACGCCGCGUGCGGAAUGACGGCCUUCGGGUUGUAAACCGCUUUCGCCUGUGACGAAGCGUGAGUGACGGUAAUGAGUAAAGAAGCACCGGCUAACUACGUG
rnacentral:rRNA from 1 species